rnacentral:rRNA from 1 species
CAGCGCCACAAGUAGGGACCAGUUUUAUUGGGCCUAAAGCGUUCGUAGCCGGAUUAGUAAAUCUUUUGUGAAAUUGUUGGGCUUAACCCAACAGCUGGCAGAAGACACUGCUUAUCUAGAGACCGGAAGGAGUUAGAGGUAUUUGAGGGGUAGCGGUAAAAUGCAAUAAUCCCUCGAGGACCACCAGUGGCGAAGGCGUCUAACUAGUACGGGUCUGACGGUGAGGAACGAAAGCCAGGGGAGCGAACCGGAUUAGAUACCCGAGUAGUCC